rnacentral:rRNA from 2 species
UAAGAUGAGAGUUUGAUCCUGGCUCAGGACGAACGCUGGCGGCAUGCCUAAUACAUGCAAGUCGAACGAGCUUCCGUUGAAUGACGUGCUUGCACUGAUUUCAACAAUGAAGCGAGUGGCGAACUGGUGAGUAACACGUGGGAAAUCUGCCCAGAAGCAGGGGAUAACACUUGGAAACAGGUGCUAAUACCGUAUAACAAYAAAAUCCGCAUGGAUUUUGUUUGAAAGGUGGCUUCGGCUAUCACUUCUGGAUGAUCCCGCGGCGUAUUAGUUAGUUGGUGAGGUAAAGGCCCACCAAGACGAUGAUACGUAGCCGACCUGAGAGGGUAAUCGGCCACAUUGGGACUGAGACACGGCCCAAACUCCUACGGGAGGCAGCAGUAGGGAAUCUUCCACAAUGGACGAAAGUCUGAUGGAGCAAUGCCGCGUGAGUGAAGAAGGGUUUCGGCUCGUAAAACUCUGUUGUUAAAGAAGAACACCUUUGAGAGUAACUGUUCAAGGGUUGACGGUAUUUAACCAGAAAGCCACGGCUAACUACGUGCCAGCAGCCGCGGUAAUACGUAGGUGGCAAGCGUUGUCCGGAUU